GCGCACGCUGGCGGCAGGCCUAACCCCUGCAAGUCGCACGCACUCUUCGGAGUUAGUGGCGGACGGGUGAGUCACACGUGGGAACGUGCCUUUUGGUUCGGAAUAACUCAGGGAAACUUGUGCUAAUACCGAAUGUGCCCUUCGGGGGAAAGAUUUAUCGCCAUUAGAGCGGCCCGCGUCUGAUUAGCUAGUUGGUGAGGUAACGGCUCACCAAGGCGACGAUCAGUAGCUGGUCUGAGAGGAUGACCAGCCACACUGGGACUGAGACACGGCCCAGACUCCUACGGGAGGCAGCAGUGGGGAAUCUUGCGCAAUGGGCGAAAGCCUGACGCAGCCAUGCCGCGUGAAUGAUGAAGGUCUUAGGAUUGUAAAAUUCUUUCACCGGGGACGAUAAUGACGGUACCCGGAGAAGAAGCCCCGGCUAACUUCGUG
rnacentral:rRNA from 1 species